GUAUCAUUUUCAUAUGUAUUUGCAUAUCCAUCUGUAUAUAUCACUAUGUUACAAAUCACGUUAUUUUGUAAGAACCUACAUAUAUUUUGCAUCCCAAAUUGGACUAUGGUUACUAAGGGGAGGGCAAACUCUGUGCUCCUCACCAGUGUGUUCCCAGCAUCUACCACAUUCUCAGAUCACAGUGGACUUCUAUUAAGUGUUUCAGAAUGAAUGUGCUUGGAGUACAGAGGAAUAGCGGGGAGAUGCAGACACAAGGGAACAAGCUUCACUGCUAUCUAUCAGCUCGGAUAAGGAAAAGCUCCUUUCAGCCUGACACUGACAGCUUAAUGAAAUGGAGGCAAAGAUGCAUGCAGAUGAGAGAAAGACUGGUAAGGUGCUGAAGACGCAGAGAUGAAAGACUCUUCAUUCUUUCCUAAAGAAAAUUACAUUUGAUGGAAAAGACAUUAAAAUGAGAUAUGGCAUUUUCACAGACUUCAAAGACGUUCCUGUGUGGCAUAGUGCAGGAACAGGUCACACACUGUUAUGGCUGGUAUUCACUCAUUGUCCUCAUCACUGGCUGCUUUAGAAAAUUCUUAUUUAACAGCGUCAAUUUUUCUAAGAGAUAUUGACUAUUUAGAAGACGUAUUAAAUUAAGGUAUAUACAUGGAAGACAUAGGAUGACAAGAAAAGAGCCCUAAAUAUAAAGUUAGAGGGCCUAGGUAAUAUUUUAUUUUUCUCACUUCAUAACUUUGCGAUUUCAAAUGUUAAGCUUUCAAAUCUUGGUUUCCUAAACUGUAAAAUGUAAAUAAUAAAAUAUAUCGCUUAUAUGUGACACAGAUAUUGAGAUAAUUGGAAUGGAAAUGAAGAAAUGAAGUAAUGGUAGGUGAAUAUAAUUUAUUAAUAGCACCCUGUACAAAUAUGAGAUCCUUUGUGUUAUUUUUUUUCUUCUUUUUUUUCUUUGAGGAAGAUUAGCCCUGAGCUAACAUCUGCCACCAAUCCUCCACUUUUUGCUGAGGAAGACUGGUCCUGAGCUAACAUCUGUGCCCAUCUUCCUCUACUUUAUAUGUGGGACACCUACCACAGCAUGGCUUGCCAAGCGAUGUGUAGGUCUGCACCGGGGAUCCUGACUGGCGAACCCUGGGUCACUGGAGCAGAUUGUGUGAACUUAACUGCUGCCCCACCGGGGUGGCCUCCUUAUAUGUUAUUUAAUAUAGAAUCAUCAAUAAAAAUUAUAGAGAUACCAGAAAAUGUAUAUAGAUAAUGACAAAGUGUAUAUUCUUAAGUUUAAUGAUUUUUUAUUUAAAUUUAAAAACACACAUCCAAUAUUACUGAUU
rnacentral:lncRNA from 1 species